UUUGAUUAAAAAUAAUGAGGAGUUGGGCCUGCCCGGUGUAAUAAUUAACGGUUGCAACGAGAGUUGUACUAAGGUAGCAUAAUAAGUUGUCUCUUAAUUGGAGAAUGGAAUGAAAGGUUUGACGUAUAAUCGCUUUUUUUUAUUAAAUGAUUGAAGUUUUCUUUUAAGUGAAAAGGCUUAAAUUUUUGAAAAAGAAGAGAAGACCCUGUUGAACUUGAUUAGAAGUGUUGAAAUUAAUAUUUUGAAGUUUUGUUGGGGCAAUAUUAACUUAAAAAACAGUUAAUUUAUCAUAAGAUCCUUUAUUUGAAAGAAAUUAGAAAAAGUUACCGCAGGGAUAACAGCGUAAUUUUUCUUGAGAGAUCUGAUUGAGGGAAAAGUUUGCGACCUCGAUGUUGGAUUAUAAAAACUUUACGGUGCAGCAGCUGUAAUAGUGAGACUGUUCGUCUUUUAAU
rnacentral:rRNA from 1 species